rnacentral:rRNA from 1 species
AUUGAACGCUGGCGGCAUGCCUAACACAUGCAAGUCGAACGAGUGGCGGACGGGUGAGUAAUGCCUGGGAACGUGCCUGAUGGAGGGGGAUAACUUUCGGAAACGGUAGCUAAUACCGCAUACCAUCGGAUGUGCCCAGGUGGGAUUAGCUAGUGGGGGGGGUAAAGGCUCACCUAGGCGACGAUCCCUAGCUGGUCUGAGAGGGUGACCAGCCACACUGGGACUGAGACACGGUCCAGACUCCUACGGGAGGCAGCAGUGGGGAAUAUUGGACAAUGGGCGAAAGCCUGAUCCAGCCAUGCCGCGUGUAUGAAGAAGGCCUUCGGGUUGUAAAGUACUUUCGGCGGGGAGGCGUUACCCGCAGAAUAAGCACCGGCUAACUCCGUGCCAGCAGCCGCGGUAAUAC